ACCAUGGUAACUGAGCACUUGGCUCGGCGGUUUGUUGACGUUCAGGUGUAACAUGAUUAAACUGAUUGUUGCGUCAGUCCCAAUCGGAUCCAAACCGAACAUCUUGCUGUCCUCAGUGACCCUCGUUCCCAGCCUCGGUCUUUAGCAGCCAGCAGGUGAACAGCUGCACCAUCUUCUCUGGGUUUGCUGAAUUAUUUGCUGCUCUAAAUGAGACAAACGUUUUCCGAACCGCUGAGCCUCAGGUGGCGUUUCCUGCUCUACAAGUAGCACAUAUAAGUGAGACGGUGGCCUCAAUAGGAUCAAGCUGCUAUAAAAAAACGCCUCAUCCCGUCACCACCUGCGCCUUCAUGGAGCCAGCCGCUGAUUACAGCUGCCUGUUGAAUAAUGAGGCUGGGGUCAGAGGUCAGCGGGGGUCCAGACACAAACAAACCGUCUGAUUCCCGACAGAUGGAGACGCCUGAGAUCAGCCUGAAGGAUGGAAGCUGCGGCGAGCAGCAAGUCUGUCAGGGAGCUGGUGGAGUUUCCUACCUUUGCAGAGGAAGAGGAGUCCCAGCAGAGCCAGCAGGCUGCGGAGCGACAUCUUUCCUUCAGCUUCAGAAACGGUCUGGACCCAGACUGACAGGGCGGCUGGACGGAUCAGGAGGGAGGGAAGGGGGCGGAGCCUCACGCAGGGAACGCUUUCUAGAAGAGGAGGUGGAGGAAGACGAGUGAUUUAUCCAAACCAGGAGAAGAAGAACGAGGGAGAACUUUCCACACAUGAGGGAGAAAUCAGAGCUUAAUCACUGUGGGGUGAAACAUGAACUGAUUACUUCACCUGUUGGACAUUCUGACACAUUUUGUCCUAUUAAUGGGUCUGAUUACUUUAAAACUAGUUCAGGUUAUUUCUGACUGUCGGAGCUGAAUGAACAAAUAGCAACUGAAACAGAGCUUUAUUAAAAUGUGCAGUAAUUAAAAUGUGAUCAAAGCAUUGAGAACCUUUAUAUGAAGCAGGAUCAAUAAUAUUUUAGAUACUGGUUGUGUUUUUAAUUUAACAUCAGCUGCCAGACCAGCUUUGUUUAGAAAUGUUGUUAGAGAUUAUUAAUAAAGAAACUUAAGAGG